rnacentral:rRNA from 1 species
UACGGAGGGUGCGAGCGUUGUCCGGAUUUAUUGGGUUUAAAGGGUGCGUAGGAGGCUUUAUAAGUCAGUGGUGAAAUACAGCCGCUUAACGGUUGAGGUGCCAUUGAUACUGUGGAGCUUGAAACAAGUGGAGGCUGCCGGAAUGGAUGGUGUAGCGGUGAAAUGCGUAGAUAUCAUCCAGAACACCGAUUGCGAAGGCAGGUGGCUACGUUUGAUUUGACACUGAGGCACGAAAGCAUGGGGAGCAACAGG